CCUACGGGCGGCAGCAGUGGGGAAUAUUGGGCAAUGGGCGCAAGCCUGACCCAGCAACGCCGCGUGAAGGAAGAAGGCUUUCGGGUUGUAAACUUCUUUUCUCAGGGACGAAGCAAGUGACGGUACCUGAGGAAUAAGCCACGGCUAACUACGUGCCAGCAGCCGCGGUAAUACGUAGGUGGCAAGCGUUAUCCGGAUUUACUGGGUGUAAAGUGCGUGGAGGCGGGAAAGCAAGUCAGAUGUGAAAACCAUGGGCUCAACCUGUGGACUGCAUUUGAAACUGUUUUUCUUGAGUGCUGGAGAGGCAGACGGAAUUCCUGGUGUAGCGGUGAAAUGCGUAGAUAUUAGGAGGAACAGCAGUGGCGAAGGCGGUCUGCUGGACAGCAACUGACGCUGAGGAGCGAAAGCGUGGGGAGCAAACAGGAUUAGAUACCCGGGUAGUC
rnacentral:rRNA from 1 species